UGGGGUGACGCAGAGUGGUAGCUAGGCUUCCUUAUUGGAUUGGAGUGCAAGCGUGUGGCCUGUGGGGUUGGGAAAUCCGCCCCACAUAGAAGGGUGAGGCGUGAUGCGGACACCAUGUUGUGGUGGUAGUUAGUGUGCCUGUGCUGCCGAGAAAAGCCUCUAGCGAGUGCGUGCAUGGCCCGUACCGGAAACCGACACAGGUGGUCAGGUAGAGAAUACUAAGGCGUUCGGGUGAACUGUGGUUAAGGAACUCGGCAAAAUGCCCCCGUAACUUCGGGAGAAGGGGGACCAUUACUGGUUGCUGACAGCAUUAUAGCUGGUGGUGGUCGCAGAGGAGAGAGGGAAGCGACUGUUUAUUAAAAACACAGGUCCGUGCGAAAACGUGGAAGUUGAGGUAUACGGACUGACGCCUGCCCGGUGCUGGAAGGUUAAGAGGACCCGUGAGCAUGCCUAUGGUGUGCGAGGCGGAGAAUUGAAGCCCCAGUAAACGGCGGUGGUAACUAUAACCAUCCUAAGGUAGCGAAAUUCCUUGUCGGGUAAGUUCCGACCUGCACGAAUGGCGUAACGACUUCCCUGCUGUCUCAACCACAGGCCCGGUGAAAUUGCAGUACGAGUAAAGAUGCUCGUUUCGCGCGGCAGGACGAAAAGACCCCGGGACCUUUACUAUAGCUUGGUAUUGGUGUUUGGUCAUGCUUGUGUAGGAUAGGUGGGAGACUGUGAAGCCGUGACGCUAGUUGUGGUGGAGUCGGCCAGUGAAAUACCACUCUGGUGUGAUUGGGUACCUGAACCUUGGCCCGUGAUCCGGGUUGGGGACAGUGCCUGGUGGGUAGUUUAACUGGGGCGGUUGCCUCCUAAAUGGUAACGGAGGCGCCCAAAGGUUUCCUCAGUCUGGUUGGCAAUCAGAUGGUGAGUGUAAGUGUAUAAGGGAGCUUGACUGUGACACUGACGGGUGGAGCAGGUGCGAAAGCAGGGACUAGUGAUCCGGCAUCGACGUGUGGUUGUGGUGUCGCUCAACGGAUAAAAGGUACCCCGGGGAUAACAGGCUGAUCUUCCCCAAGAGUUCAUAUCGACGGGAUGGUUUGGCACCUCGAUGUCGGCUCGUCGCAUCCUGGGGCUGGAGUAGGUCCCA
rnacentral:rRNA from 1 species